UCCUUUUUACCUGCCUUGCUAACACCUU
rnacentral:piRNA from 1 species